rnacentral:lncRNA from 1 species
GGUUACCUGAAUGAAGGUCAGGUUAUUCCAAGCCAGGGUGCACCUGGGCCCAGGCAUCCUCUGAGCCCCUUAGCACGAGCAUGGCUGUGGCAGGUUCCUGACUCGCCAACCUCUUGUCCUCUGGCACCUGGAGGACCCUGGGUGGCAGUGCCUGUACAGCCGUGAGACCUCCCUGGGGUCCAGAAACUGUGGCUACUGGGCUUCAUGGUAAGCCCGGGCUCCUAGGCCUGUGAGGCGCUGGGGCUCUGGCCAGCCUGUAGCCUUCAGUGGGGUGGGUCUGCACAAUGGAGCCUCUGCCAUGGCCUUCCCUUCCCUCCUUCCUUGCAGUUAACCUACAUUUGGUGUCUCCUGGCUUUGCCCUUCAUUUCUCCUGCUCACGGUGCCAGCCUCUGAGAACAGGCUGCUGGGCCGUCCCAGUCCCUCCUGCCCCUCCCCCUUACUUGAAGCCAGAGGUCAUGGAGCUGAAGCACCAGGC